GAUGGGAUUGACCACUCCAAGAGUUAGAGAAGAAUGAGUCGUUGUAUUUCAAUUUAGCAAAACCUUGGCCAGGGUAAUCCAUCAGAUGGAUUUGAUAUUUUGAAAUACAAUAUGGACAAUCUGAUCAGAGUUGACAGUUGAACUCUGAGAUGUCCUAUGAUCAUUUUGGUCAAGGAGAUGAAUUAUAUGAAAACUAUAUCCGCAUGGGUUCUAAGGAUGUUAUUCUACACAUUCGACCUAUCCGGUCGUCGGGUACCAUUACUAGAUGGUCACUUCGAUUGGUAUAGAAAUUUAUUUUUGUACUACCAACUUAGGUUUGGACCUAUGAGGUCACACACAUUAGAGUUCAUGAUCUGAUCGGAUGGUUGAUCAACGAUUAAGAAUCAUUCUAGGGUUAAAUGAUCAAUACGAUUGACAUUUAACCCAGUGCAAGUGUUGCAGGAGGAUCGAUUAGCAAUUCGAUUGCUAAUUGGCUUAAUUUGAUUAAGCCAAUGGGCUGAGAUUAAGUCUAAUUAAAUAUGAUUUAAUUAGAUUUAGUUUGGACUUGAUUGGAAGGUGGUUUGGAUCACAAAAGGUCUCCUCUCUUCUUUCUUACAUGGAAGGUGGUUUGGAUCAAAUCUAAAAGGAAUAAGUUUGGAUUUCGAAUUCUAUGAGAUAGAGUUUUAGAAAUCCAAAACUCUUUCAAUUUUGCAUCGAAUUUAUCCA
rnacentral:lncRNA from 1 species